rnacentral:ncRNA from 18 species
GCGACCCCAGGUCAGGCGGGACUAC